GGGAGAGCUCCAUCGCUUUUCUUCAAAAUAAUAUCAAGACAUGCACCUCAGAAGGUAUACAAGAUUUCAGUUUAACAUCCCAUCUGAAAGAUAAGUAAAGGCUAACAAAGGGAUUACUGGAAAUGCUGACCCUCUUUAGAUGAUCUCCUGGAGAUUACUUGAUUGUCUUAAAGUCAGAUAAUCAUUUUUAAGACUUUUUACCAAUUUAGCCAUAGCGUCCCAACUUUUCCAUGAAAUUGCUUGGCUUGAGGGGUAAGUUGGUGGUAUAUGUGGCUGCCUUAUAUACCACCUGGAAUGCCUUCAUUGAAGAAAAGGCCAUGUAUGCUUUUUUUCGUUUGCUUUGAUUAAAAUUGUUGCAGUGUGAAUGAAUCAAAAGUCAGACAUAAGUCAUACAACGAGGAAAUAAAGUAACAGAUUAGGUUAGGAUAAAAUCUUGUUAACAGUAAAAAAAAAUCACAAAUAUAAUUCAAACUUGUCAGUGUGAAGAACAUAAAACACAUAAAAGUAUAGCACUGAAGGCUCUGGAGGCCGUCAAUGAUUAUUUUUAAGGCAGAAAUAGAUUCUUGAUUAGUAUGAGUGUCGGGUUACACGGAGAAGGCAAAAGAAUGAGGUUGAGGGGGAGAGAUAAGUUCAUAAGUUCAUUUAUUGUCACAUACACAAGUUGGUGUAGCGAAAUUCACUGGCCAGGUCAGUCAUACAAUUUAAAAAAGCAACAGACUCAGCAAACACAUUUUAACAUAAACAUCCAUCACUCUGUGACUCCUACACAUUCCUCACUGUGAUGGAAGGCGAAAAUAAAGUUCCAAGUCCUUCUCAUGUUCUUCCUUGGUCGGGGGCUGCUGCGUUGACGAGACUGUCUUGACUCCCGCAGCCGGCGGCGUUUGGGCCCUCUGCGUCGAGGCGUUCAGCUCCCGCAUCGGGGGGGAUAUCAGCUCCUCCGCGCCAGGCGAUCAAACCUCGCGUUGGGGCAUGGACGAACGUACUGCGGCAUUGGAGCUCCCGACUUGCCUCUCCCGAGACUGUGAGCCCUUGAUGAAAGCUCUAAUGGAAGCUUGAAUGUGUGCAAAGUCUUCGGUGAAAGGAUGUGGAGUUGACAUUACUGAUGGGAAAUGAAAACUUGAGAACGGGAGGAGAAACGGAAUCAUCCACCUUCCCGUGGCAUUUAGAGUCCUGGUAUUGUUUGUUUAACGCCACAUGACUCUCGUUGUAACC